CACAAACAUGAAAACAGGAGCAAAGAAAUGUCAUUUUUAUUAGCUUGUAGCUGUUGUUGCUUGCACUAAAUGCUAACAUAUUGCAUGUCUUAGCCUCUGAGUUGUGUGGUGUGCCCCAUUCCCCAUUCAUGAACAUGACAGUGUGUGCCCCUGAUUAUCAGCCAGCUUAAAACAUUAAUAUUUAGGGAAGUUUGUCUGUGAUGACAAGCCUGAAAGAUGCAAUAUUUUCUGUAAUUGCUCUCCAACCCAGGUCCUGCUGUCCUGCAUGUUAUAGAUGUUUCCCUGCUGCUGCACGCCUUAUUUAAAUAGCAGGGGUCUUUGGAAGUUGAUACUAUGCUGAAGAGAUAAUGCAAUCAUUUCUACCAGAUGUGUUCUUGCAUCUCUCUGUUUAUUUUUUAUUUUGGUGACCAUUUCCAGAUGAAAGCAGGAAGCCCCAGAAACCCAUUUCUGUAAAUAUUUGACAGCUUGUUUAUACUUGGGAAGUU